UCCAUAGCAGCGGAGGACUGUUAGGUUUCCAGGCUGGAUGUGCGGAUUUGGGCGUGACAGGAGCCGCCUUCCUGAGCUGCCCGUCUUAGUGAGGUCACGGUGGGAGCCCGCGGUCCCCAAAGAACCUGCAGCGGCAGAGAGUUGGCCUUGAUGGCCGGGGGUCAGUUUCUCCGGGGCAGGCAGGACUUGCAGGGUCGUGCUGCCGCUGGUUCCCCACAGUUCUAUCAUAUGGUUCCCUGACUGGGAACGGUAGAUGAAAGACUCCUGGGGCUUUCCCAGUUUGAGUCCCCUGCCAUUCAGGACCAGGAUCAGACUACAUCCUGCAUUAACUCCUCACUUCUACACUCAGAAGCUGUAAACUUGUUGCUGCUGGCUGGCAAACAACACCGACCCAAUUUACCACAGCCCUCACAGGAAAUGCCAACACUGCCAGAUUCAUCGCCAACAGAUCUGCUUAAACUUGCUGCUAAAGACCAACGGGGCUCAGGGCCAACAACAGCCCCCUUUAUGGGUGUCUGUCGCAGAGUCCAAGUCCCACUAAAAGUCUCAGGUAAGACAUUCUCUACACUUGUGGACAUAGAGGCAAUAUGUACAGAGUUCUUCCUGAGUUUUCAGGCUGGAAUAGUAAGUCCUCAACCUCUGGGGGUAUUAAAGGUCAACAGCGCCUGCCUUGCAAGCAGGCAGUUGUGAGUUCAAUCCCUGGUACCGAUAAAAAUCGAAAAAGACAAAAAAAAAAAGAUAAAAACACAGGGCUGGGGAUUUAGCUCAGUGGCAUAAGCGCCUGCCUUGCAAGCAGGCAGUCGUGAGUUCAAUCCCUGGUACUGAUAAAAACUGAAAAAGACAAAAAAAAAGGUAUUAAAGGUCAACCUAUGCCAUUUACAAACAGGCCCUAUUUCAUACAGGUUCUAAACUGCUUCUUCCCAAUCCACCCAGUGGUGCAAAAUCUUCCCUCCACCACUCACUCUAUAGUCCUAAAUCUUAAAAAUGCUUUUUAGGGGGCUGGGGAUUUAGCUCAGCGGCAUAAGCACCUGCCUUGCAAGCAGGCAGUCGUGAGUUCGAUCCCUGGUACCGAUAAAAAGGAAAAAGACAAAAAAAAAAAAAAAAAAAAAAAAAGCUUCUUAUUCCCUUGUGUUUACAGGCUGACCCAGACACUGAGGCCUCAACAGCUUACACCUGUUAUUGCUAGUAAACCUCUCCUCAGUGAUAUAUAAACCAGGCCCCCUUUUUCUUAUUCACCAAUUUCUCAGACAACCCUGGUCAAGACUGGCAGAUAAAUUUUGUCUUCUCACCUUUGUUUAUACUUUUUCAGGAUUCAUAAAAGCCUUUCACACAACCAGGGAGACUGCUGAUAUACUUGCUAAAGUUCUGUUACAACAAAUCAUUCCAAGAACUACAACCAGGUUACAGCGACCCAUACCUGAUAUUCUUGGCAACCUCAAGAGUGAUCGAAGUUGCUAGACUGCCAUCCUGGUCUCACAUCACUCAGGCUAAGUGGUGCCCUUCCAGCCCUAGAUCUAACCAUCCUUUUGCCUACUCAUCUCCAUUUCACCAAGGCCUCACAACUCUCAGGCUGUUAUGUUUUGUUAUCCAAUUUGGUUUCUAAUUUCUUAUUCUUUUUACAGCAGGACUCUUAACAGUAUUUCCUAAAGACUCCCACAUCAUACAUACCAGAGACAAGCCUUACGCUCUUAACUUUUACCCUUUCAGAUGGGGGAGUAAUCACCUCUUAUAACUUCACUCCUCCUAACCCCACAUUUAUUUUUCACAAUUCUACCUUACUGUGGCAAUAAUUCUGCCUCAACGUGGUCCUGAUAUAAUGACAUGUCUAAAUCAAAGGCACCUCCCCUUCUACCUCACCUGGGUCCUUAAAUAUGACAGUGCCAUGCCUCUUCAUAAUAUCUUGUCUCUUUGUUUUUCCAGUCUAACAUACAUGCAUUCACUAGCAAAGUUGUCCUGGCUAAAACACCUGGCACCAGCUUCUACCUGGGCAUCAACCGUCAUCCCAUCGACUCCCCUAGACCCCAGCACAGCACCCCUUUACAGCAGGAAGCAGUAAAGAGAGAAAUCUUUGCCCCUUUUUAUAAUAAUAAUCAUAAGAUGGGAUAUGAAAGAGUUUGGGCCCAGACAGGACACUGUAGCUGGUAAAGCCUCAGGUGGAACCAAGGAGCUCCAUCUUCCCCACCCCUAGGAAUUUACCUAUGGCACCAAAAGAACACCAAUGGGCUACCUGUGCAUCACUAAUGCCCCCUUAGGUUCCACCCCAAACCUAGGCUACUUAUAUGCCCCCUCUCCACGUGUUCCAUGGAGAGAUUGCCAACCCCGGGGGGAGAGAUGCCGUGCCCCAGGGAAUCGGGGGUGUCUCUCCCCUCAUUCUCAAAAUAAAGAUCAUUUAUGUUUCAUACUUCUUAUCUUUUCAGCUACCGCCAAUCCCCCACAGUUCUAUCUAUUUUUUUUAUUUUAAAGAGAAGAAAAGAAAAUGAAACAAAGCAAAUCAGAACAGGAAAAUGCAAGCAACACAGCACUUCACAACAAAACAACUAGACAUCAACAGUAGCUAACAUGUUUUUUUCUUUGAAAUAGUUGAGCAUACUUUCACCUUCACACACAAUAAUAUCAAACAUAACCAUAUAGUAAAAAAAAAAAUUCAAAAGAAUGAAAGCAUUGGGCUGGGGAUUUAGCUCAGAGGCAUAAGCGCCUGCCCUGCAAGCAGGCAGUCGUGAAUUCAAUCCCUGGUACCGAUUAAAAAAAAAAAAUGAAAGCAUUACAGGACUUCAAAAGCAAAAAUAGGAGAGGAACAGUGCCUGCUAUAAUACCUCAUUUUCCUCAAAAAAUUUGUCUAUAACAUCAUACAUAAUACAAUCAAAUAAAACACAACAGGAUAGAACCAAUCGAAGAACAAAAGCAUGGUAGGACUUUAAAACAACAUGAUAGUAAAUCAGCAAUAGCUACCAUAAUAUCUUGUUUUCUUCAAAAUAGUGUUCACACCUUCUCACAUAAUAAAAUCAAAACAAAACAAAAUAAAAUCAGACAAAUGAAUGAAAGCAUUAUAAGACUUCAAAACAAUGUAAUAGGAAACCAUGAUUACCAUAUUUCCCAAUAUAUUCAAAAUAGCUGCCCCUACCAAAUGAAAGCAUAAAAUCUAACAACAGAACAAAGCCAAACCUAAUAAAAUUGUGUAAACAAUGCAAGAGUUCAAGAUAAGAUAAUUAAGAAAUUGACAGUAGUUUCCACCUUUCUCUUCCUUUGCUCUUCCCCUCCCCUCCCCUUUGAUCAACAGUAUCUGCAGUAUACUCGUCAUCUUAUUGGUUGACCAUAGUUCUGCCCCGCCUUCUGCCUACCUUGCGACUUCCCAUUGGAUCAAUGUUACCUAAAUGCCUAUGCUUGCAAUCUUAUUGGUUGAUUAUAGUUUUGUUCCACCUUAGACCCGCCUUGAUCAUGGUUUUGCUCUAUAAAAUUCUGCCUUGAGAGGCAGGCUAUCCAGCAAACCACUUGGGACCCUUCUGUAUCUCUUAGAAACUUUGUUUACUCCAAUAAAUAUUUUCUGCUCUUAACCUCCGUUAUUCCUUAGAACUUAUUCUCUCUCCUUUUUUUUUGGUACUGGAGCUCAAACUCAUGACCUCACACUUGCCAGGCAGCUGCUUUGCCGCUGAGCUAUAA